GUUUGAUCCUGGCUCAGGAUGAACGCUGGCGGCGUGCUUAACACAUGCAAGUCGAACGAAGCACUUUUUCUUCUUCGGAAGAGAAAGUGACUGAGUGGCGGACGGGUGAGUAACGCGUGGGUAACCUGCCUUAUACAGGGGGAUAACAGUUGGAAACGACUGCUAAUACCGCAUAAGCCAACGAGGCCGCAUGGCCUAGUUGGAAAAGAUUUAUCGGUAUAAGAUGGACCCGCGUCUGAUUAGGUAGUUGGUGGGGUAACGGCCCACCAAGCCGACGAUCAGUAGCCGACCUGAGAGGGUGACCGGCCACAUUGGGACUGAGACACGGCCCAAACUCCUACGGGAGGCAGCAGUGGGGAAUAUUGGACAAUGGGGGAAACCCUGAUCCAGCGACGCCGCGUGAGUGAAGAAGUGUUUCGGCAUGUAAAGCUCUAUCAGCAGGGAAGAAAAUGACGGUACCUGACUAAGAAGCCCCGGCUAACUACGUGCCAGCAGCCGCGGUAAUACGUAGGGGGCAAGCGUUAUCCGGAUUUACUGNGUGUAAAGGGAGCGUAGACGGCGAUGCAAGUCUGGAGUGAAAGCCCGGGGCUCAACCCCGGGACUGCUUUGGAAACUGUGUUGCUAGAGUGCAGGAGAGGUAAGUGGAAUUCCUAGUGUAGCGGUGAAAUGCGUAGAUAUUAGGAGGAACACCAGUGGCGAAGGCGGCUUACUGGNCUGUAACUGACGUUGAGGCUCGAAAGCGUGGGGAGCAAACAGGAUUAGAUACCCUGG
rnacentral:rRNA from 1 species